GAUGACGGCUCCUGCUGCCCCACAUCUUCAGCAGCAUUUGGUGAUGACAGCGCCUGGAUUUUGGCCAUCCUCAUGGCAUAGAACCAGCCGACGUCGUGGGCUCAGCUCCCUGAUGGCCCUGGUCUGACAGCUUCAAGCCCUUCACGUGAGCAGUUCUGAGAGGACGUGGCGUGCAGGUUGCUCUCAGGGGCCUCCAUGAAUCUGCAGGUGGAGUUGAAGAGGGGACAGCUGGAGAUGUGCUG